rnacentral:ncRNA from 1 species
UGCGAUGAGUCGAGAAGAACCAGGUAAUGAUUUUCAUUAUUUUGCUGUGGCAAUUAAUGGUUCAAAUCGAAACGGAACACAGAUACCAGCGGAUUUUCUGGUGUGUUUGCUGCAAACAUUGUGGAGUG